rnacentral:rRNA from 2 species
UGGCUCAUUAAAUCAGUUAUCGUUUAUUUGAUAGUACCUUACUACUUGGAUACCUGUGGUAAUUCUAGAGCUAAUACAUGCUAAAAACCCCAACUUCGGGAGGGGUGUAUUUAUUAGAUAAAAAACCAAUGCCCCUCGGGGCUCCUUGGUGAUUCAUAAUAACUUCUCAGAUCGCAUGGCCUUGCGCCGGCGACGGUUCAUUCAAAUUUCUGCCCUAUCAACUUUCGAUGGUAAGGUAGUGGCUUACCAUGGUUUCAACGGGUAACGGGGAAUUAGGGUUCGAUUCCGGAGAGGGAGCCGGAGGAACGGCUACCACAUCCAAGGAAGGCAGCAGGCGCGCAAAUUACCCAAUUCCGAUACGGAGAGGUAGUGACAAUAAAUACUGAUACAGGGCUCUUUUGGGUCUUGUAAUUGGAAUGAGUACAAUUUAAACCUCUUAACGAGGAACAAUUGGAGGGCAAGUCUGGUGCCAGCAGCCGCGGUAAUUCCAGCUCCAAUAGCGUAUAUUAAAGUUGUUGCAGUUAAAAAGCUCGUAGUUGAACCUUUGGCCUGGCUGGCAGGUCCGCCUCACCGCGUGCACUUGUCCGGCCGGGCCUUUUCUUCUGGGCAACCGCAUGCCCUUCACUGGGUGUGUUGGGGACCAGGACUUUUACUUUGAAAAAAUUAGAGUGUUCAAAGCAGGCCUUUGCUCGAAUACGUUAGCAUGGAAUAAUAGAAUAGGACGUGCGGUCCUAUUUUGUUGGUUUCUAGGACCGCCGUAAUGAUUAAUAGGGACAGUCGGGGGCAUCAGUAUUCAAUUGUCAGAGGUGAAAUUCUUGGAUUUAUUGAAGACUAACUACUGCGAAAGCAUUUGCCAAGGAUGUUUUCAUUAAUCAGUGAACGAAAGUUAGGGGAUCGAAGACGAUCAGAUACCGUCGUAGUCUUAACCAUAAACUAUGCCGACUAGGGAUCGGGCGGUGUUUCUAUUGUGACCCGCUCGGCACUUUA